AUGAAGCUACGUGUCGGGCCUGUUAGAGCUGCACCGGAUGGAAUAUCGGAGAAGGUGGAGAAAAGUAUAAAAGAGGCACAAGAGAUGUGUUCGGAUGAUCCGGCGAGUGGCGAGUGUGUGGCGGCUUGGGACGAAGUGGAAGAGCUGAGUGCGGCGGCUAGCCACGCUAGGGACAAGAAGAAAGACGAUGAUCCUUUGGAGAAUUACUGUAAAGACAACCCGGAGACCGAUGAGUGUCGUACUUAUGAUAAUUGAAAAUGUUUGUUUUUUUUCUAGUUUCUUAGAUUAUAGUUGGAUGUUAAUCUGAAAUAUGUUUUAUUGUUGGCUUAUAUAGUUUGUUAUAAUGAUG
rnacentral:lncRNA from 1 species